UGCCAGCAGCCGCGGUAAGACGGAGGGUGCAAACGUUGUUCGGAAUCACUGGGCAUAAAGCGCACGUAGGCGGCUUGGUCAGUCUGUUGUGAAAGCCCUCGGCUCAACCGGGGAAUUGCAUCGGAUACUGCCAGGCUUGAGGACGGUUGGGGUGAGUGGAACUCCUGGUGGAGCGGUGAAAUGCGUAGAUAUCUGGAGGAACACCGGUGGCGAAAGCGACUUCCUGGCCCGAUCCUGACACUGAGGUGCGAAAGCUAGGGGAGCAAACAGGAUUAGAUA
rnacentral:rRNA from 1 species